rnacentral:rRNA from 1 species
GCAAGUUGAACGAAGCAAUUUUGAGUUUACUUGGGAUUGACUUAGUAGCGGACGGGUGAGUAACGCGUGAGGAACCUACCUUUGUGAGGGGGACAACAGCUGGAAACGGCUGCUAAUACCGCAUAAGGCCACGGCAUUGAGUGAUGCAGUGGUAAAAGAUUUAUCGCACAAAGAUGGACUCGCGUCCCAUUAGCUAGUUGGUAAGGUAACGGCUUACCAAGGCGACGAUGGGUAGCCGACCUGAGAGGGUGAUC